GUGUGAGAGAAACAGACCUGCUGUGCUGAAGCGGGUAAUGAAGUCCCUGGAUAGACCUCAGGCUCAGCAUCCUUUAGGGAGGGGUGAGAGAUAAGCACGAGCUAACUAAUCCUGCAGAAUUCUCUGUAUGGGGGAAACCGAGGUGGGCAGCUGUGGAAUGACUUCUUACAGUCACAGCAGCCAGGAGAGCCUGAGAAGGAAAUGUGCCUCUCCCAAGGGCACACAAAAGCAGAAGCUGAGGUUACACAUGGUCUGCAGGAAGGAGCGGGAGCUGGAGCGAGUCUCUGCAGCAGUCGGGUGCACUUCACAGCACAGUCGGAUUCCUCAGUGAUGCACAGAGUUCAUAAAUGGUCAAUAGAGCUCCUUGAGCACGUUACAGGUAGGAAAAUUAUAUGCUACUAACA